AUUACUAGCCCCAAGCUAAAAACCCAAAGGACUUGACGGUGUCCCACCCACCUAGAGGAGCCUGUCCUUUAAUCGAUUCUCCCCGAUAUACCUCACCACUUCUAGCCACUCAGUCUGUAUACCUCCGUCGCAAGCUUACCAUAUGAACGCAAAAGUGAGCUAAAAGAUAUAACAUCAACACGUCAGGUCAAGGUGCAGCUCACGAAUUGGGAAGCAAUGGGCUACAAUUUCUAUUUUAGAACACACGGAAAACUAUAUGUAAUACAGUUAUGAAGGUGGAUUUAGUAGUAAAAAGAAAAUAGAGAGUUCUUUUUAAUUAGGCGCUGGGACGCGUACACACCGCCCGUCACCCUCUUCAAGUGCACGCACAUGUUUAUAACAUCUACUCCACAUAUCCAGAAGAGGCAAGUCGUAACAUGGUAAGUGUACUGGAAAGUGCACUUGGAUUUU
rnacentral:rRNA from 1 species